CAGCGGUCCGGCCGGGAACUCAAAGGAGACUGCCAGUGAUAAACUGGAGGAAGGUGGGGAUGACGUCAAGUCAUCAUGGCCCUUACGACCAGGGCUACACACGUGCUACAAUGGCGCAUACAAAGAGAAGCGACCUCGCGAGAGCAAGCGGACCUCAUAAAGUGCGUCGUAGUCCGGAUUGGAGUCUGCAACUCGACUCCAUGAAGUCGGAAUCGCUAGUAAUCGUGGAUCAGAAUGCCACGGUGAAUACGUUCCCGGGCCUUGUACACACCGCCCGUCACACCAUGGGAGUGGGUUGCAAAAGAAGUAGGUAGCUUAACCUUCGGGAGGGCGCUUACCACUUUGUGAUUCAUGACUGGGGUGAAGUCGUAACAAGGUAACCGUAGGGGAACCUGCGGUUGGAUCACCUCCUUACCUGAAAGAAGC
rnacentral:rRNA from 1 species